rnacentral:rRNA from 1 species
UGGGGAAUAUUGGACAAUGGGCGCAAGCCUGAUCCAGCAACGCCGCGUGGAGGAUGAAGGUCUUCGGAUCGUAAACUCCUGUCAGAUGGGACGAAGGCUUGGUUGCAAACAGUGGUCAAGUUUGACGGUACCAUCAGAGGAAGCCCCGGCUAACUCCGUGCCAGCAGCCGCGGUAAUACGGAGGGGGCGAGCGUUAUUCGGAAUUAUUGGGCGUAAAGGGCGCGUAGGCGGCUCUAUAAGUCAAAGGUGAAAUCCCUCGGCUCAACUGAGGAACUGCCUUUGAAACUGUUGGGCUUGAGGCCGGGAGAGGGUAGUGGAAUUCCCAGUGUAGCGGUGAAAUGCGUAGAUACUGGGAGGAACACCAGUGGCGAAGGCGGCUACCUGGACCGGUACUGACGCUGAUGCGCGAAAGCGUGGGUAGCAAACAGGAUUAGAUACCCCUGUAGUCC